rnacentral:misc_RNA from 1 species
GCCCAUAUGCUCCUCGCCAAUCUCGAAAGCGUGACCGGCCGUGCAUGGGCCACCGCCGACAUGGGUCCGUGGUUGCAGCCCUACGACGCGGAGCCCGAUCCCGCGCUGGCGACACGGUUUCACGCACUGGCGCGAUUGCCGGAGAACACCUUCGGCCACGCCUUCGCGAUGUUCUAUCAGGCCAACGGCUAUGCCUAUCCCGGCGAGCCGACCGCGCUCAAUUUCGAGCUCGCAGUGCCGCACGAUUCCACGCACGUGC